ACUGUUUUGCCGGCUGGAACGCACGCUCAUUUCAAUUUGGUAGCGCUUGCAAUUUGUAUUUUAUGCAUAAACGCUCACAUGUUGCCCCUUGGAGAUGACAAAAAGGAUCGCUAUGCCAAGCUGUCCUUUCUGGGCGAAGGACAGUUUGCCAUCGUGUACAAGGCGCGCGACACUGUGACCAGCCAAAUUGUGGCCGUCAAGAAGAUCAAGAAGGGCAGCCGCGAUGAGGCGCGCGAUGGCAUCAAUCGCACCGCAUUGCGUGAAAUUAAGAUCCUGCAGGAGCUGCAGCACGAGAACAUUAUCGGACUGGUCGAUGUAUUUGGCCAGCUGUCGAAUGUGUCGCUGGUGUUUGAUUUUAUGGACACCGAUCUGGAGGUGAUCAUCAAGGAUAACAAGAUUAUUCUCACCCAAGCGAACAUCAAGGCGUAUGCUAUAAUGACACUGCGCGGCCUAGAAUAUCUGCACGUCAAUUGGAUUCUGCAUCGCGAUCUGAAGCCCAACAAUUUGCUUGUCAAUAGUGAUGGCGUUUUAAAGAUCGGCGAUUUUGGUCUGGCCAAGAGCUUUGGUUCGCCUAAUCGCGUGUACACUCAUCAUGUGGUGACGCGUUGGUAUCGCUCACCCGAGCUGCUAUUUGGCGCCCGCCAAUACGGUACCGGCGUGGACAUGUGGGCCGUUGGCUGCAUUCUCGCCGAGCUUAUGUUGCGUGUACCCUUUCUGCCCGGCGAUUCCGAUCUGGAUCAGCUGACGCGCAUCUUCAGCGUUUUGGGCACACCCACAGAGGCCGAGUGGCCCUAUCUGAGCAAGCUCCAUGACUAUUUACAAUUUCGUCAUUUUGUGGGCACACCGCUUCAGAAUAUAUUCACAGCAGCCGGCAAUGAUAUGAUCACGCUGAUGCGUCGUCUGUUUGCCAUGAAUCCGCUAAAGCGCUGCUCGUGCCGCGAAGCGCUCAGCAUGCCUUAUUUUCAUAAUAAGCCCGCGCCCACAGUUGGCCCCAAAUUGCCAAUGCCCUCAGCCAUAUUGGCCGCCAAGGAGGGCGCCAAUGCGGCUGCCGAUGAGAAACCGGGACUCAAGCGCAAACUGGUCGAGACCACGGUGCGCGGCAAUGUCCUGCCGCAAAAAAAGAAGUUAAUGUUCUAAACAGCUGCCAGUCCACAUGCGAAUUGCAUAGAGAGUUUAUUUGACUAGUUACUAAGCGAUAGCCACAAAUAUACUAAAUAAAAGCUAAGACAUCAGACAACUCUCCACUUGUACAACUGCUUUUAACCAAAGCACAAACCACAGCUGCUAUAAAAGAAAGCUGACACAACAGCACAGCUUGAACUCAGCGUGUCGACAGAUGGCGCCAGACGAAUUGCGUUUGAUUCGAAAGAUAUGUAUACGAAUGGAUACAUAUAUUUUGUAUGCCUAUGUGCAAGUUCACCAACACCUCUAGCUGCACUGAAAAUUAAAAACAAAUGUAUUCCUAACUAAUGCCCUACUACGCGAUUCUCAUGAAUUCAAGUCGGACUCAUGGGCCACACGGCAACUGUAGACGGCGAUGGCUUUAAAGUUGGAGUAACGACAACUUAAAGAAAGUAGAAGGCAGCUGAUUUAAUAUUGGAAGAGACGGCAGCUUGUUUAAAGGAGGAGGAGGCGGCUUGUACUAUGGUGGAGGCAGUACCCAUUGCCUUGGCGGAUGACGUUGAAAAAAAAAA
rnacentral:misc_RNA from 1 species